rnacentral:rRNA from 2 species
ACGGCGAGUGAAGAGGGAAAAGCCCAAAUUUGUAAUCUGGCUCUUUUAUAAGGGUCCGAGUUGUAAUUUUGAGAACUGUUUUCUGUGUUGGACCAUGUACAAGUCUGUUGGAAAACAGCAUCAUUGAGGGUGAUAAUCCCGUACAUGAUAUGGACUACCAGUGCAAUAUGAUACAGUCUCUAAGAGUCGAGUUGUUUGGGAAUGCAGCUCAAAGUGGGUGGUAAAUUCCAUCUAAGGCUAAAUAUAGGUGAGAGACCGAUAGCAAACAAGUACCGUGAGGGAAAGAUGAAAAGAACUUUGGAAAGAGAGUUAACAGUACGUGAAAUUGUUAAAAGGGAAACAUUUGAAGUUAGACUUGUUAUUAUUGGUUCAGCUUCUUUUUUUAAUUAGGAGUCUAUUCCAAUGGUUGACAGACCAGCAUCAAUUUUUGAGUGUUAGAUAAGGGUCUUGAGAAUGUGGCAACUUUGGUUGUGUUAUAGCUCUUGGCUUGAUAUAAUGCUUAGGAUUGAGGAACGCAGUGAGC